rnacentral:rRNA from 1 species
UACGGAGGGGGCGAGCGUUAUUCGGAAUUACUGGGCGUAAAGGGCUCGUAGGCGGCCAACUAAGUCAGACGUGAAAUCCCUCGGCUUAACCGGGGAACUGCGUCUGAUACUGGAUGGCUUGAGUUCGGGAGAGGGAUGCGGAAUUCCAGGUGUAGCGGUGAAAUGCGUAGAUAUCUGGAGGAACACCGGUGGCGAAGGCGGCAUCCUGGACCGAUACUGACGCUGAGGAGCGAAAGCCAGGGGAGCAAACAGG